UCACACAAGUUUUUAAUUUUUUUAACUUUUGGUGUGUGAGAUAGAAGGAUAGAUAUUUUUGUAAUCAAGUCGUAUUGUAUUAGUUGUAAUAUUUUUGUUCUUAGUAUUAUUAUAGAAAUUAUAGAGGAAACUAUGGGUGUGUUUGGUUUAAAUAUUGGAAUCAGAAUUGUGAUGAGAAUUAAAUCUAUACUUCUAUACUAUUAAUAAAAACAAAAAAUUUUAUUUUAA